CUUGUCUGUGAAAAGGCCCCCCCUGGGGCACAGCUGUGGUUGGUGGAAGCAUCAGAUUGAGCCUGUGGGGCUGGAAACAGCCAGAUAAUGUAUGAUGUAUGAAGUGCUGCGGGCAGCCUGCUACAGCACGAGUCCCACCAUCACCAACCAUCUGAUCUCUCCAGCCCAACUCCUACUCCUCCUGCAUGGCCACCUCCUCCAGGAAGUCCUCCACAACCUUGCUCUGUGGUCUUAAAGCAGCUGCACGACUUUACCCCAUCAUCAUAGGACCAACAGGAGGGUGCGCUCCACCUCAGGCUUCCCAUCCAUGUUGGCUGGAUGAAUGGAAUUAAACUGAACUGGACAGGUGUUCCCGAGAACUGAGACUGGACAGUCAGAGAAAUCAGAG